rnacentral:rRNA from 1 species
UGAUGCAGCAACGCCGCGUGAGGGAUGACGGCCUUCGGGUUGUAAACCUCUUUUAGCARGGAAGAAGCGAAAGUGACGGUACYUGCAGAAAAAGCGCCGGCUAACUACGUGCCAGCAGCCGCGGUAAUACGUAGGGCGCAAGCGUUAUCCGGAAUUAUUGGGCGUAAAGAGCUCGUAGGCGGUUUGUCGCGUCUGCUGUGAAAUCCCGAGGCUCAACCUCGGGYCUGCAGUGGGUACGGGCAGACUAGAGUGCGGUAGGGGAGAUUGGAAUUCCUGGUGUAGCGGUGGAAUGCGCAGAUAUCAGGAGGAACACCGAUGGCGAAGGCAGAUCUCUGGGCCGUAACUGACGCUGAGGAGCGAAAGGGUGGGGAGCAAACAGGCUUAGAUACCCUGGUAGUCCACCCCGUAAACGUUGGGAACUAGUUGUGGGGUCCUUUCCACGGAUUCCGUGACGCAGCUAACGCAUUAAGUUCCCCGCCUGGGGAGUACGGCCGCAAGGCUAAAACUCAAAGGAAUUGACGGGGACCCGCACAAGCGGCGGAGCAUGCGGAUUAAUUCGAUGCAACGCGAAGAACCUUACCAAGGCUUGACAUAYACCAGAACGGGCCAGAAAUGGUCAACUCUUUGGACACUSGURAACAGGUGGUGCAUGGUUGUCGUCAGCUCGUGUCGUGAGAUGUUGGGUUAAGUCCCGCAACGAGCGCAACCCUCGUUCUAUGUUGCCAGCACGUAAUGGUGGGAACUCAUGGGAUACUGCCGGGGUCAACUCGGAGGAAGGUGGGGAUGACGUCAAAUCAUCAUGCCCCUUAUGUCUUGGGCUUCACGCAUGCUACAAUGGCCGGUACAAAGGGCUGCAAUACCGUGAGGUGGAGCGAAUCCCAAAAAGCCGGUCCCAGUUCGGAUUGAGGUCUGCAACUCGACCUCAUGAAGUCGGAGUCGCUAGUAAUCGCAGAUCAGCAACGCUGCGGUGAAUACGUUCCCGGGUCUUGUACACACCGCCCGUCAAGUCAUGAAAGUCGGUAACACCUGAAGCCGGUGGCCUAACCCC